AUGUUGGAUAGAAAAUCAAUGGAGAAAGCACACAUCAGUACAUCUGGCCGCCGCAGUACACAAAGCAAGUUUGGCUGCAGAGCUAGCAAGAUCCACGCAGCAAGCAGGGCCAAGCAGCUAGCAGGCCGGCGUACCGCGCACAACAUCUGCUCUCACGCGGCGCACAGCAUGCGCACUUGCCGGACAGAUGCAGGGCCGGCGCAGCACCCGCGCACGGGGCGCACAGCAGGCGCGCCGGCCGGAGAGAAGCAGGGACGGCGCCGCUAUCCUCAGGCCUCCGGCGGCCGCGCGCGGCACUCACCUGGCUGGCCGCCGCCACCAUGA
rnacentral:rRNA from 1 species